AAACAAAUAAAAAUUAUGUUUUAUUGUCACAUAUGUAACGGAUGUGAAACGGCUAGCUUAGUUAGCCGUGCGCGCUAAAUAGCGUUUCAAUCGGCGACGUUGCUCUGAGACCUUGAAGUAGUAGUUCACCUUGCUCUGCAAGGGCCGCAAUGGGUAACGAUGCUUCGAGGGUGACUGUUGUUGAUGUGUGCAGAGGGUCCCUGGUUCGCGCCCGGGUAUGGGCGAGGGGACGGUCUAAAGUUAUACUGUUACAUUGAUGCUGUUGACCCGGAUCACUGGUUGCUGCGGAAAAGGAGGAGGUCAGAAAGGGGGAUACAGUGGAGGCUGCUGAGAGAACGGCUCAUAAUACUGAACAGAACGGAGCAAACGGAAAUGGCAUCAAACCUGGAAAUCACCUGUUUGAGAAAAGCAGAACUGCCGUGUUGACAAUGUCACGAUCGUCGUAAGGAACGGACCAAAAUGCAGCGUGGUAGAGAUUCAACUGUGAGGUCAGCAGACAACCUGGGCAGUGCCAUCUAGUGGACUCUGUGAGGAGAACAAGCUCAGACUCAUUGGGCUUGCACGGCGGGGGAGCUGACAUCAACCCAACCUCUUGCCCUGGGCUCGUUUUCAUCUGUUGCUUAUAAUCAGAACAGAGUUUCCAUCCAGAAACAACCUCUAGCCCCUAGGAUCUGUGUAGAUCUGAAAGGGUGGGAUAGGUAUGGCCAAAGUUCCACAUAACCGUUUUCCAUUACAGUGUAGGCUAUUCAUAGAGUAUUCUUUCCCUGUUUUGGACAGGGAAAGAAUUUCUGUGUUUUGAAUGGUACUGUUAUUCCACCCCACAGAAUACAGUAACAUACUGUAUCUUUGGAGCUCCAAAAAACUUUUGACCACUAGUGGGUACAUGUUAUUGUUGUUUCUGGCUCAUUAACAUAUUUUGAGGCGUGGCUUGUAAGAGGUUAUAUUUGUUGCACUGGUGAGUGAGACUGCUGUAACAAUUUAGAUCCCACAUGGUUAUUGUGCCCCAUUGCAGUAAUUAUUAACCACUGUAAGUUUAAGCUGUUGGAGGGGGGUUGAUGGGUAUUUUUUUAUUAUGUUACCUAUGUUGAUGUACUGGUGCAUCAAUUGACUCUAGGUGAUUAAACGGUUGAGCAUUUUACUAUGUCCUUUAGGUCUGUUUUGCCUUGUAGUCGCUGCCAGUUUGGAAUCCUUUGUUAAGGCCUCCAGAAGUGCAAGUGAUAUAAAACACCAAAUGUGA
ensembl:lncRNA